GACGAACGCUGGCGGCGUGCUUAACACAUGCAAGUCGAACGGAAAGGCCUCUUUCGGGGGGUACUCGAGUGGCGAACGGGUGAGUAACACGUGAGUAACCUGCCCUUGACUUUGGGAUAACUUCAGGAAACUGGGGCUAAUACCGGAUAGGAGCUCCUGCUGCAUGGUGGGGGUUGGAAAGUUUCGGCGGUUGGGGAUGGACUCGCGGCUUAUCAGCUUGUUGGUGGGGUAGUGGCUUACCAAGGCUUUGACGGGUAGCCGGCCUGAGAGGGUGACCGGCCACAUUGGGACUGAGAUACGGCCCAGACUCCUACGGGAGGCAGCAGUAGGGAAUAUUGCACAAUGGGUGGAAGCCUGAUGCAGCAACGCCGUGUGCGGGAUGACGGCCUUCGGGUUGUAAACCGCUUUCGCUCAUGACGAAGCUUUGUGUGACGGUAGUGGGUAAAGAAGCACCGGCUAACUACGUG
rnacentral:rRNA from 1 species